AACGAACGCUGGCGGCAUGCCUAACACAUGCAAGUCGAACGAGACCUUCGGGUCUAGUGGCGCACGGGUGCGUAACGCGUGGGAACCUGCCCUUAGGUUCGGAAUAACUCCCCGAAAGGGGUGCUAAUACCGGAUAAUGUCUUCGGACCAAAGAUUUAUCGCCUUUGGAUGGGCCCGCGUUGGAUUAGCUAGUUGGUAGGGUAAAAGCCUACCAAGGCGACGAUCCAUAGCUGGUCUGAGAGGAGGAUCAGCCACACUGGGACUGAGACACGGCCCAGACUCGUACGGGAGGCAGCAGUGGGGAAUAUUGGACAAUGGGCGAAAGCCUGAUCCAGCAAUGCCGCGUGAGUGAUGAAGGCCUUAGGGUUGUAAAGCUCUUUUACCCGGGAUGAUAAUGACAGUACCGGGAGAAUAAGCUCCGGCUAACUCCGUG
rnacentral:rRNA from 1 species